UACAUGGGGUGCAAACGUUGCUCGGAAUUAUUGGGCGUAAAGCGCACGUAGGCGGUUCGUUAAGUCGGAUGUGAAAGCCCUCGGCUCAACUGAGGAAGUGCACCCGAAACUGGCGAGCUUGAGUACGAAAGGGGUAGCAGGAAUUCCCAGUGUAGCGGUGAAAUGCGUAGAGAUUGGGAAGAACACCAGCGGCGAAAGCGUGCUACUGGGUCUGCACUGACACUGAGGGACGAAAGCUAGGGGAGCGAAAGGG
rnacentral:rRNA from 1 species